UACGUAGGGGGCAAGCGUUAUCCGGAAUCACUGGGCGUAAAGGGUGCGUAAGCGGCCUGACAAGUCAGAGGUGAAAGGCUACGGCUUAACCGUAGUAAGCCUUUGAAACUGUUGGGCUUGAGUGCAGGAGAGGUAAGUGGAAUUCCUAGUGUAGCGGUAAAAUGCGUUGAUAUAUUGAGGAAUACCAGUGGCGAAGGCGACUUACUGGACUGUAACUGACGCUGAGGCACGAAGGCGUGGGGAGCAAACA
rnacentral:rRNA from 1 species